AGCUCCAUUAGCGUAUAUUAAAGUUGUUGCAGUUAAAAAGCUCGUAGUUGGAUUUCGGUGUGGGCCAGUUGGUCGGCCGCAAGGCUUGUUCACUGGCUGGUCUACUCUCUCAAUCUCAAAGACUGCACGUGCUCUUCACUGUAGUGUGUGUCAGGAUUUGGGACGUUUACUUUGAAAAAAUUAGAGUGUUCAAAGCAGGCACUUGUCAGCCACUGAAUACAUGAGCAUGGAAUAAUGGAAUAGGACUACGGUCCCUAUUUCGUUGGUUUAGAGGACCGAAGUAAUGAUUAAGAGGGACAGUUGGGGGCAUCCGUAUUUCGUAGUCAGAGGUGAAAUUCUUGGAUCUACGAAAGACGAACAACUGCGAAAGCAUUUGCCAAGAGUGUUUUCA
rnacentral:rRNA from 1 species